UUUAUAAAUUGUAUCAUUUGUUAGUUACUUCUCAUUUGAGUUGUGAACUACUGUUCCCUGUAUACUGUGAAAUACUUUUUUUUGUAGAGUAUUUGUGGUUAUUUAUAUAAGGAGGUAGUUAAUAGUAAUAUAGCAUGAAAAAAGACUCAAGUCCAUGAACGUCAGCCUUUAACAUAACUGUAUUGCCCAAAAAGCAGGUGAAAACCCCAAUUUUAAGCGAUUUUCAUAUUAGGGAAAAUAAUUCCUUUUUUUACUCCAUUGACUCCAAAAUGACAGUCAGAAUUGUUAAAGCAGUUGGGGUUGAUAUGUAAUGUUUAAGUAUGUGGACAAUGACAAUUUUAUGUGUUUAUUUUUUUACAUUAUUAAAGGUGUGCUAACGUUUCUCAAACUAAAGUGUCUUAGUCUUUUUGGGAGGUUUUGGAUAAUGUAAAGCAUAUGCCAAGAAGGCAAGUAUGCAUAUGUCAAUUGAUGUGAAAAACACAAUUGAAACCUAUACAGGAGCAUUGGCUAUCAGACCAAGCGUCAUCCCCAUCUAUGGACCCCAAUGGUAGUUAAUACCCACUUGUUUUGUUUACAUGGUCACGAUAUCUAUGUGCUUUGCCCUUCAUUUCGUUCUCCUGCUUGUCCCGGAGGACAGAUUUCGACAGUAAUUGUUAU